GCCACAAAUCCUUCAACUACAAUUCUAGGUUAAGUGGCAAUAUAUGCAAAGUUACAUGUCAAGGAUAUGGGCUCCUAAAGGAACCAUUAUUGCUAACCAUCAAGGAUCCAAGAAAGCUUGGGUACCUAAAUCAAAAGCUUGAUUUUCUUUAUUGCAGGUUGUCUAACAGCCCAUAGGUCAAAUAGAAGAUGGUAUUUGGAUAGUGCCUAUUCAAGACACAAGACAGAGGAUGAAUUGUAGUUCAUUUUUCUUAAGACAAAGGAAGGAGAAGUGGUCACCUUUGGCAACAUUGGCAAAAAAAAAUUGAACACAAAAUUUAGGAUUAUGGUACUCAAAACAAUCUUCAAUUAACUUAAUUAGAUAUUCAGAUGUAGAUUUUGUCGGAUGUAAA
rnacentral:lncRNA from 1 species